rnacentral:miRNA from 1 species
AGGGGCUUGCAUAUUCUACCA